AGAGUUUGAUCCUGGCCCAGGAUGAACGCUGGCGGCGUGCCUAACACAUGCAAGUCGAGCGGAGUUAUUUUCAGGAAGCUUUCGGGUGGAAUGAACUUAACUUAGCGGCGGACGGGUGAGUAACGCGUGGACAACCUACCCUGUACAGGGGGAUAACAAUGGGAAACCAUUGCUAAUACCCCAUAACACCUUUUAGGGGCAUCCCUUUAAGGUCAAAGAAUUUCGGUACAGGAUGGGUCCGCGUCUGAUUAGCUAGUUGGUGAGGUAAUGGCUCACCAAGGCGACGAUCAGUAGCCGGCCUGAGAGGGUGAACGGCCACACUGGAACUGAGACACGGUCCAGACUCCUACGGGAGGCAGCAGUGGGGAAUAUUGCACAAUGGGCGAAAGCCUGAUGCAGCAACGCCGCGUGAGCGAUGAAGGCUUUCGGGUCGUAAAGCUCUGUCCUAAGGGAAGAUAAUGACGGUACCUUAGGAGGAAGCCCCGGCUAACUACGUGCCAGCCGCCGCGGUAAUAC
rnacentral:rRNA from 1 species